GGGACUUCAAGGAUGUGGUCAUGUUUAAAGUUCUCAGUGUCUACAAGAUGAUUGUUGCAUUGCUGCUUUAUGGAGGAGGGACCAGAGAGGCAGGCAGUUCAGCUGUUGUUGGCCCAAGCUUGACUGGCCGUGGAAUACCAGCCCCUUACUGCUAGCCCAGCGUGGGUCCCUAUGUCCCCAAAGCCCACAGCAGAAUUUCUGGCGUGGAUUACAGAGUGUCCUUGGGAGAAUGACUAUGACAGAAGGAGCUGGAUACAGUUCUCUUGCAGGAUCUCCUUCCCAGCCUUCAGAAAUUGCCGGUCUGGGAGUUGGGGGCAAGGAGAAGAUCCUGAAUUAGACCUUUACGAGAAGCACAGUUUUGUCUUCAGUUUCCUCUCCCCCCACCCGGAAUGGCCUGAGCCGAAGCCAGCUCCCUCCGAGAAGUCAUUACCGCCUGACUUGCGUUUGAUAUUUAGACACCUUGGUCACAACAUCUUGCAUUCUCUCGGGAUGCUGAUUUCUAACUGCUCUUUGGCCUUUCCUGCAUUGGUCCUCCUCAGGCAGGGGAUCCCUGCUCUUCUAUAUUAGUGAGAAAACCAAGGCUCAGAGAAACUGUGGAUUUUCUAAGGAUGCUGGCUCCCCGUCCCCUGUCCACC
rnacentral:lncRNA from 1 species